rnacentral:rRNA from 1 species
GAUGAACGCUGGCGGCGUGCCUAAUACAUGCAAGUCGAGCGAACAGACGAGGAGCUUGCUCCUCUGACGUUAGCGGCGGACGGGUGAGUAACACGUGGAUAACCUACCUAUAAGACUGGGAUAACUUCGGGAAACCGGAGCUACUACCGGAUAAUAUAUUGAACCGCAUGGUUCAAUAGUGAAAGACGGUUUUGCUGUCACUUAUAGAUGGAUCCGCGCCGCAUUAGCUAGUUGGUAAGGUAACGGCUUACCAAGGCAACGAUGCGUAGCCGACCUGAGAGGGUGAUCGGCCACACUGGAACUGAGACACGGUCCAGACUCCUACGGGAGGCAGCAGUAGGGAAUCUUCCGCAAUGGGCGAAAGCCUGACGGAGCAAAGCCGCGUGAGUGAUGAAGGUCUUCGGAUCGUAAAACUCUGUUAUUAGGGAAGAACAAAUGUGUGAGUAACUAUGCACGUCUUGACGGUACCUAAUCAGAAAGCCACGGCUAACUACGUG